rnacentral:lncRNA from 13 species
ACCGGAAAACGGAAGUUGCAGUGAGCCGGGAUCGCGCCACUGCGCUACAGCCUGGUGAUCGAGCGAGACUGUCUCAAAAAAAAAAAAAAAUGAAAUCCUUCAUUUCUGUGAGGCCUUUCCAACCUGUUCUUUCCUGAUGAUUCACAGAAGAUAAAUGUUCCCAGCGCUAAUUAACAUAUUGAGAUAACUACAGGAAUGGUUAUUAUCCGAGAGGAAAAGAUAGGGGCAAAGCUAAACACUGUGCUGGUUAUCCCCAUCCGUAACUCCUCCCAGAGGGCCCAGUAUCCUGUCUUCCAGAAGCGCUAACAGUCCAUGGAAAUCCAAGCCAGAAGCAGAAGGAGGCAAGAAUGUUCUGACAGCACCUCCCACAAUGUGACAGAUAGAGUCAAAGAAGAAAAUAACAAAAAAUUCUGCUAUAAAACAAUUACUAAUUCAAACCAUGGGAGAAUGAGGAAUAGAAAAAUUAUCUCUUAGCCAGAGAGAAGAUUUUGAACCCUGAAAAUUGUAAUUUCUAUAAAUGUCAAUGCUCUUGUGUUUUGCUUUGCAAAAAUAUUUGGAAGAAAAUGGCACAACUUUCAAAAAAAGGAAAGCAUUCAAAAUAUUUAAAUUAUAUUAUGUAAUAUAUAUUAUGUAUGCAACAUGAUCGCCAAGUCUGGAAACAUAGAAAAGGUUUAUAAUGGUGAUUUAUGCCUGUCACUCUGAGUUACGGUGAUAUUACAUAGGUUCAACGUGUUGUUCCUCAUUAGCAAUGUGUCAUGCAUGAUGGGGUCAACAUGGGACAUUAAUGCAACAUUUCCAUCGAUGCUUGCACAUGCUUUUGUGAUGCUUUGCCUCCUGUGAUUUUUGUCUCUGAUUUUUACAAUAUUAACCUACUUCUUUAUCAUCUUCUGGAAGAAGCAAUCAAGUGUGUUAAUCUGUAAAACUAAAUGUUAUCUGUAUUUCCCAACUUUAUGGCCAUCCUGUAUUAGUGUAUAUUAUGUAUAUUCUGAACUGCUCCGUAAUUAAAACAGUCAUUCCUUAUCAAUAAUUUACUUGCUCUCAUGGAUACAUAUCUUUUAGUUAAU